GACGAACGCUGGCGGCGUGCUUAACACAUGCAAGUCGAGCGGUAAGGCUCCUUCGGGAGUACAUGAGCGGCGAACGGGUGAGUAACACGUGAGUAAUCUGCCCUUCACUUCGGGAUAACCACCGGAAACGGUGGCUAAUACCGAAUACGACCAGUCUUCGCAUGAGGUGCUGGUGGAAAGUCUUUUCGGUGAAGGAUGUGCUCGCGGCCUAUCAGCUUGUUGGUGGGGUAAUGGCCUACCAAGGCUUCGACGGGUAGCCGGCCUGAGAGGGUGACCGGCCACACUGGGACUGAGACACGGCCCAGACUCCUACGGGAGGCAGCAGUGGGGAAUAUUGGACAAUGGGCGAAAGCCUGAUCCAGCAACGCCGCGUGAGGGAUGACGGCCUUCGGGUUGUAAACCUCUUUCAGUACCGACGAAGCGCCCUGUCGGGUGGUGACGGUAGGUACAGAAGAAGGACCGGCCAACUACGUG
rnacentral:rRNA from 1 species